CCUACGGGUGGCAGCAGUGAGGAAUAUUGGUCAAUGGGCGCGAGCCUGAACCAGCCAAGUAGCGUGAAGGAUGAAUGCCCUACGGGUUGUAAACUUCUUUUAUCAAGGAAUAAAGUGAGGCACGUGUGCCUUUUUGUGUGUACUUUAUGAAUAAGGAUCGGCUAACUCCGUGCCAGCAGCCGCGGUAAUACGGAGGAUCCGAGCGUUAUCCGGAUUUAUUGGGUUUAAAGGGUGCGUAGGUGGGGUGUUAAGUCAGGGGUUAAAGUUUGCGGCUCAACCGUGAAAUUGCAAUUGAUACUGGCAGUCUUGAGUACAGUUGAGGUAGGCGGAAUUCGCGGUGUAGCGGUGAAAUGCUUAGAUAUCACGAAGAACUCCGAUUGCGAAGGCAGCUUACUAAACUGCCACUGACAUUGAUGCUCGAAAGUGUGGGUAUCAAACAGGAUUAGAUACCCUGGUAGUC
rnacentral:rRNA from 1 species